CCUACGGGGGGCUGCAGUGGGGAAUUUUGGACAAUGGGGGAAACCCUGAUCCAGCCAUGCCGCGUGCGGGAAGAAGGCCUUCGGGUUGUAAACCGCUUUCGGACGGAAAGAAAUCGCACGGACUAAUGCUCUGUGUGGAUGACGGUACCGUAAGAAGAAGCACCGGCUAACUACGUGCCAGCAGCCGCGGUAAUACGUAGGGAACGAGCGUUAGUCGGAAUUACUGGGCGGAAUUCUUACGCCAGACGUGAAAUCCCCGGGCUUAACCUGGGAACUGCGUUUGGAACUGGGAGACUAGAGUGUGUCAGAGGGAGGUGGAAUUCCGCGUGUAGCAGUGAAAUGCGUAGAUAUGCGGAGGAACACCGAUGGCGAAGGCAGCCUCCUGGGAUAACACUGACGCUCAUGCACGAAAGCGUGGGGAGCAAACAGGAUUAGAUACCCUUGUAGUC
rnacentral:rRNA from 1 species